UGCACCCACUAACUACUCCUCCGAAAAAGUAGCUUUGUGGGUGGGAGGAGGUGAGGGAUAUGAUACUGAAGAAAGAGUGUCAGAAAGGAGAGGUCAAGAUAGUGGAGCUGUCUUAUUUAAACCUCGGAGGGUGGGUUCUUACGCCGCCGCCGCCGCCGCCACAGACAUCCCCCUCCCUCUUCUCCACACACACUUCUUUCACUUCCUUGGCAAACUGGCAGGGAAAAGUCUCCGGGGAGCUCCGACUGACUUUUUUGCUGAAACCCCAAGGAGGUUGCAGAAGUGUCGGCUAGAGGAGAAGAGGAGGAUCAAGGUGAGAGAGAAUUACUCAAUUGUCACUGGCCUAACCAAACUCACAGCUCCGCUGGACACUGAUGCUCAAAGUAUCUUGCCUCUGCUAAAGGAACAGUUCCUGUCAACCGUGAAACCGGUUGGGCAAGCAAGUGGGUUAGGAAUUUAAUGCUUGGGAAUUCAUUCUUUAAUGCAGAAAAUCUAGGGUGAGUACAGGUUCCUGAAAUCCUUACUAAAUUCUGCUGGGGAAACUUUGAGAGACUCCCCUUAUCCUAGGUAUACAUUUACCACCACUAUCUCUGAAGCCUUGUUAGUAACUGACUAUCCUUUUCCCUUAAUCUCAAAAGCAGGCCCAGAAAGAUUCUUUGGACCCGGAUGUUCUGUAACUAUUUCUAAUGUCUAAUGUCUAAGCAGAGCAGCCAGCUACAACAGAUAACAUCGUUUUCACCUGGACAAUGUCAAGUUCAUUGAUUUAAUAAAAAAUGAGGUCCUAGUGAGAGAUGGGGAAUGGCAAGCAUCAAGUAAACUUUAGAGGGCUUCAAGCACAUCCUCUGGCUCGGUGGGCAGUCAUUUGACCCUUCUGAACAUCUUUCUUUCUUUCAUCUAUAUUUCCCUGAGGGAACCAGUCUGACUCUUAGAUGGUGAAUAUUUAUUGUGAUGAAUGAGGAUAUCUCUGAAGAACAUCAGUCCUACACUCCUGCUCAAAUCCUAUUUAGUUCCUGAAUCACUUUCACAGCAGUGCUCAGAUUCAUUGGGUAAUGGGGUCAUGAAAGGUCAAUUCAGCAAACUAAUAUAAGCUGCAAACCAUACCAUUUAAAUUUUUUUUUGUUUUUUUAGAAAACAGAGAGCAACUGAUCAAUACUUUACUUGUGAUUCAAAAACUCAAUUACUAAUUUGAAAAAGUUAAAAAAUAUAGGCUAUAUCAUAUAUGUAUCUUUCCUCAUUAAAUUGAUAUAAAAUUA